AUUGAACGCUGGCGGCCGGCUUAACACAUGCAAGUCGAGCGAGCGUCGGUCGGGUGAGUAAUGUCUGGGCAUCUGCCUGAUGGCUGGUGAUAACUCCUGGAUACGGUAGCUAAUACCUCAUACCCUCAUAUGUUCCCAGAUGGGAUUCGCUGGUAGGUGGGGUAAUGGCUCACCUAGGCGACGAUCCCUAGCUGGUCUGAGAGGAGGACCAGCCACACGGGAACUGAGACACGGUCAAGAAUCCUACGGGAGGAGUAAGUGGGGAAUAUUGCAAAAUGGGCGCAAGCCUGAUGCAGAAAUGCCGCGUGUGUGAAGAAGGCCUGCGGUGUGGAAAGCACUUUCAGAGAGGAGGCGUUACUCGCAGAAGAAGAAACGGCUAACUACGUGCCAGCAGCCGCGGUAAUAC
rnacentral:rRNA from 1 species